GGCUGACCUGACAUCCCCACUCCAGCCAAAGACUUCAUCCGGCACCUUCUGGAGCGAGACCCCCAGAAGAGGUUCACCUGCCAGCAGGCUUUACAGCAUCUUUGGAUCUCUGGGGAUGCGGCCUUUGACAAGGACAUCCUGGGCUCAGUCAGUGAGCAGAUCCAGAAGAAUUUUGCCCGGACCCACUGGAAGCGAGCAUUCAAUGCUACCUCCUUCCUGCACCACAUCCGCAAGCUGGGGCAAAGCCCAGAGGGAGAGGAGGCCUCAGAGCGGAGGAUGGCCCGCCACAGCCACCCUGGCCUCCGGUCCAGCCAGCCCCCCAAGUGGUGAUGCCCAGGCAGAUGCUGUGGCCGAGUGCAUUGACUCCUGGAUUCCCUUCCCAUGGGUGGACCCUUUCAGUCCUCUUUCCCCACCCCCAGGACCCCGGGCUGGCCUCUGCUGGAAAGCUGGAGAUGUGUGGGUGUGGUGCAUGGCACUGGGGCAGGAGUGGGACUCCCCCAUCUGCCACCCAGGCUCUGCCCUCGCCUAGGGGCUGGUGGGGUGUGUCCACAGGGACUCUCUUCCACUGUCACCACCACACCCCCUCUAGGAGCCAAAGAGGCUUCUAGAGGCAGCUCUUCCUGCACGCUCUUCUGUGCUUUGCUGACUGUGGUGGUCCUGCUUUGCGUCAUGGCCCUCCAGCCCCCCUCUAGUUUUCCCCAAAUCAAUAAAGACAGACAGAGCAAUGGGC
rnacentral:lncRNA from 1 species